rnacentral:hammerhead_ribozyme from 1 species
AUCCAUUUGAACAGUCUCAAACAGGACGAAACGCGUGUCCUCCAU